UUUACUCAUGAGAGACACAGAGAGAGGCAGAGACAUAGGCAGAGGGAGAAGCAGGCUCCCUGAGGGAUCACAACCUGAACCAAAGGCAGAUGCUUAACCACAGAGCCACCCAGGCACCCCUGUGUUGCAAUCUUUAAAAUAAUUCAUAUCAGUGUGAGGUUGUAUGUUUUUCCCCCCUCACUCCCUGUACAAAAUUAUUCCUAAACUACUUUUGAGUGUCUGUAUUACUGGCAUCAACAAUGUUGAUACAAUUCUUUAGUUAAAGCUAUUAAGUCUAUUUUGAAGUAUCUGAUUCCAAGGACCUAAACCAAGGAGUGAAAAUGAAAAAUUACAAACAUGUGGCUGAUUAGAAAAAUAGUUAUAAUAGGCCUUACUGCUGUUAUUAUUGAAUGUACAAGUGAAAUAACCAUUAGCCUGUUUUAACCACUGGAAAACACCCUAUGGUGGUACUUGACUGAUUCGAUGCAUUUUUGUACACAAUUGCUGUGCUAAUGGAGCAGACAUUUACCCCAUAACAAAGGAAAUCUCAAAUGUAAGCCUUAGGGUUUAUAGUAAUUCCAGAAUACCAAACCACCGCUAAAGAUUUUAAAUGAAGCCCCUGCUGAUCUAUUUGUUGGUUAAACCCCUUUUGUCUCCUCAAAACAGUAACAUCACUCACAGGACAAAUUAUUGAUAAAUUGCAGAAUUUCAAACAAAGAUAAGCAGAGAAUUAAAAAUCCAUAACAGACGUUAGCUUUAGGAAAUGCACUUAACAGGAUAUGAUUGUAGGUCUACAACCAGUUUUUCCUUCGCGUUUUUCAAGACAUAAAGGUCUGUGCAAGUCUCCUAUCAUCACAGUAUAGUGAAGAGCAGAAUUGGUUCAGCUAUGGAAAAAGUGAGUGGGCCAAGCAGUCUUUUGAUUGCUGAGGAUAAUCUAUAAACACAAGACACUACGUUGACCCUCGAAAUGAUCUCUUCUCACCUCCUCACAAGGGAUGACAAGCCAGCGAUUUCCUUAUAGGGUACAAAACAGCAUUUAGGAAAGGUUCCUAAAGGAAAUCAUUCUUCCAUUCAACCGUGUUGCCAUGGUAACCAAACCAAUCAAGCUUCUUCACAAAGGCUUUUAUGUCAAGUUCUGUUAGCAAACUCAUAGAGAAAGUAUAACUCAACUAAAUUAACACUACAUCUGUUACCUUAUUAGAGAUAGGCGAAAGGCACAAAUCCUUCUCAAAAUUAGAGAAUAUGUACUCCUUCCAUAUCAACAUUUUAAAUUAGUCAAGUUCAGUUUUUUAAAUAAAUAUCACUCUCUUGAAGGCUCUUCUGGAAGAGGGGGGAAGGAAUCUAUCCAGUAGUACUUGCCCUUUCCAAAAAUGAUUUUUCCUCUACCUUCCAAAGAACACAAGACAAUUCUUACAUCUUAUUAAUUCUUUCAUUAUCAUUUCUUUGUAAACUUAUGCUUCAGAUACAUUUGUACUACAGGCAUAGUUUACAUGGAAAAAAUCCUAGCAUUUAUUGCCUAUCAUUACUAAGGCAAGCAGAAUAGAUGGAGAAACAUUAUAGAUCCAUUUUAUUAAUGGGCUUUAGCAGGGCUUGAUGAAGCUAUAGUAUGGAUUACAGGCUUAAUUUUGAAGGCUAUUUUAUGUUAGUGACAUGGUUUGGUGACAGGGUAACUCCAUUUUUAUGGGACACUCCUCGUGUUAGUUUAAUUUAUUUAUUAAAAAUAACUCUGGGAUGCUUGGCUGGCUUAGUCAGUUAAGAGUCUGCUUUCAGCUCAGAGCAUGGUCCUGGGGUCCUGGGAUGGAACUCCCUGCUUCUCCCCCCCGCCCCCAUGCUCUCUUCCUCUUUCUCUCUCUCUUGAAUAAAUGAAUAACAUCUUUUUAGAAAUUUAAAAAACAAAAAUAAAAAUAACUCUGAACAACAAGUUUUAGUAAACUUAGUAAUAGGACACUCAGCUCCAUAUCCAAUGGAUUUUCAAGAAAGUAUCAGUAAAUCACUCAUAUUCCUAUUUUUUAUUUAAUUCAGGAAUACUAAAAGAAGGCUGAUGCCCUCAUCCUGUGUUUUGUUAUAGAAAAUACACCUAAAAUAACUGUCAUAG
rnacentral:lncRNA from 1 species